rnacentral:ncRNA from 1 species
AGGUGGUCAGGUAGAGAAUACCGAGGCGUUCGGGUGAACUAUGGUUAAGGAACUCGGCAAAAUAGCCCCCGUAACUUCGGGACGAAGGGGGGCCGACAGUCUGGUGAUGAGCUUUGCGCUCUGAGCUGGGGGUGGCCGCAGAGACCAGCGAGAAGCGACUGUUUACUAAAAAACACAGGUCCGUGCGAAGCCGUAAGGCGAUGUAUACGGACUGACGCCUGCCCGGUGCUGGAACGUUAAGGGGACCGGUUAGCUCCAUUUCGGUGGGGCGAAGCUGAGAACUUAAGCGCCAGUAAACGGCGGUGGUAACUAUAACCAUCCUAAGGUAGCGAAAUUCCUUGUCGGGUAAGUUCCGACCUGCACGAAUGGCGUAACGACUU